rnacentral:lncRNA from 1 species
AUGAGUAAUAAGACUGUUAGAGUGCAGUUAUAUAGUAGUUUAUCUAUACAUGAUCAGGUGUCAUUAUCCAGCCUGUCCCACUUUGUGUGGGCGUUUGCUGGCACGUCUGUCCCCCCUGUGCGGUUUACGUCUGCCCCCCCCCCCGUGCUGUUUGUCUAUCCUGUGCGUGUACGUCUGUGUCCCCCUGUGCGGUUUACGUCUGUCCAGUGCGUGUACGUCUGUGUCCCUCUGUGCGGUUUACGUCUAUCCUGUGCGUGUACGUCUGCCCCCCCUGUGCGGUUUACGUCUGUGUCCCCCUGUGCGGUUUACGUCUGUGUCCCCCUGUGCGGUUUACGUCUGUGUCCCCCUGUGCGGUUUACGUCUGUGUCCCCCUGUGCGGUUUACGUCUGUGUCCCCCUGUGCGGUUUACGUCUGUGUCCCCCUGUGCGGGUUACAGCUGUGUCCCCCUGUGCGGUUUACAGCUGUGUCCCCCUGUGCGGUUUACAGCUGUGUCCCCCUGUGCGGUUUACGUCUGCCCGUCCCCCUGUGCGGUUUACAGCUGUGUCCCCCUGUGCGGUUUACGUCUGCCCGUCCCCCUGUGCGGUUUACAGCUGUGUCCCCCUGUGCGGUUUACAGCUGUGUCCCCCUGUGCGGUUUACAGCUGUGUCCCCCUGUGCGGUUUACAGCUGUGUCCCCCUGUGCGGUUUACAGCUGUGUCCCCCUGUGCGGUUUACAGCUGUGUCCCCCUGUGCGGUUUACAGCUGUGUCCCCCUGUGCGGUUUACAGCUGUGUCCCCCUGUGCGGUUUACAGCUGUGUCCCCCUGUGCGGUUUACAGCUGUGUCCCCCUGUGCGGUUUACGUCUGCCCGUCCCCCUGUGCGGUUUACGUCUGCCCGUCCCCCUGUGCGGUUUACGUCUGCCCGUCCCCCUGUGCGGUUUACGUCUGCCCGUCCCCCUGUGCGGUUUACAGCUGUGUCCCCCUGUGCGGUUUAUGUCUGCCCGUCCCCCUGUGCGGUUUACAGCUGUGUCCCCCUGUACGGUUUACGUCUGUGUCCCCCUGUGCGGUUUACGUCUGCCCGUCCCCCUGUGCGGUUUACAGCUCUGUCCCCCUGUGCGGUUUACGUCUGCCCGUCCCCCUGUGCGGUUUACAGCUGUGUCCCCCUGUGCGGUUUACAGCUGUGUCCCCCUGUGCGGUUUACAGCUGUGUCCCCCUGUGCGGUUUACAGCUGUGUCCCCCUGUGCGGUUUACAGCUGUGUCCCCCUGUGCGGUUUACAGCUGUGUCCCCCUGUGCGGUUUACAGCUGUGUCCCCCUGUGCGGUUUACAGCUGUGUCCCCCUGUGCGGUUUACAGCUGUGUCCCCCUGUGCGGUUUACAGCUGUGUCCCCCUGUGCGGUUUACAGCUGUGUCCCCCUGUGCGGUUUACAGCUGUGUCCCCCUGUGCGGUUUACGUCUGCCCGUCCCCCUGUGCGGUUUACAGCUGUGUCCCCCUGUGCGGUUUACGUCUGCCCGUCCCCCUGUGCGGUUUACAGCUGUGUCCCCCUGUGCGGUUUAUGUCUGUCCUGUGCGUGUCUGUCUCCCUGUCCCACCACCAUUUGUUGCCUUGCUUUAAUCAGGCCCAGAAGAAAGCCGUUGUAUUUUGGCCCGUCUGUCAUCGGAGGCCGUCCCUGAUAACGCUAUAACCAACGUUUCCUCCACUCGGAUGCCACCGCCAGAUAAAAAAAAAAAGGCCAAAUCAAGAGGAGAGGCGACGCUCUCGCUUUCUCUCACCUCCACCCACUCCCCCUUUCUUCCAUCUGUUUUCCUGGCAUAUUAUUCAUUUCCUCUUUUGGAGGCAGAAAAAGAACCCGGUUCUGAUUCAUGACUCCUUGAUUUUUGUUUGCAUUUCUUUUUCUUGUUUUCUUUUGUUUGAUGUUUUUUAAAUGAGCUGUCUUUUUGUUUUUGUGUUGCCUUUUCCUCCGCUAAAAGGGAGUUUAAAGUCUAAAUGUUCCCGUAAUGCUACUUACUGUACAUAUCAGAGGCUUGGUGUGCCCUGUGGGUUGUAGGCACACACCACUGAGACAUGUCAGUUAAUGAAUACAGGAUUGAUAUUAAUUAGGUUUGUUCUGGGUGUUUCUGUGUGGGAGUCUGUCUGUGCAUCCACUUCUACUGUUCACAUUUCAUUGACCCCUUCUUCCACACACACACACACACACACACACACACACACACACCCACACACCCAACCAACCAACCAACCAACCAACCAACCUAAUUAAUUUAGUGAAUGUGCAACCUAGACUAGUGAAAUUGUUGCAAAGCCACAAGUAAUGGCAACUCUUGUUCGUCACAAUAAGGCGUUUUGAGUUGCUGCGUUAAGAUUCUUAAUUCUAGGAAAUUGAGAGGAUUUGAUAGUUGGGAUUUUGUAUUACAAUGUCAUGACUUGGAACAACUGGCAGAGAAGGAAAGCAACCAGAUCAAUGCUCUUAAGUGUUCCUGCAAAGAACCUAUCACAUGUUAACGCCUUUCAGUUUAGCCAUGAAAAUGCUGGACAAUUUGGUACUAUUAUAGUCUAGAUUAAACAUUCUGAUAAUUGCAAGUCUAGAAAUGGAAACAAACAAUUCUCUAUCCUGGAAUUUAGAGAACCAUUUUCUCUCCAUAUGGUUGCGAUACAUAUACACUGAGUGUAUAAAAGAUUUUAAGAAUACCUUCCUGAUAUUGGAAUCCACAUGGUGUAGAAAGCGUUUCACAGGGAUGCUGGCCCAUGUUGACUCCAAUGCUUCCCACAGUUGUGUCAAAUUGGCUGGAUGUCCUGUUGGGUGGUGGACCGUUCUUGAUACGCACGGGAAACCUGAGUGUGGAAAAACCAAGCAGCGUUGCGGUUUUUGACAAACUGGUGCGCCUGGCACCUACUACCAUACCUCGUUCAAAGGCACUUCCAUUUUGUUCUUGCCCAUUCACCCUCUGGAUGGCACACAUACACAAUCCAUGUCUCGAUUGUGUCGAGGCUUAAAAAUGUAACAUGUCUCCUCUUCAUCAACACUGAUUUUGAAGUGUAUUUAACAAGUGACAUCAACAAGGGAUCAUAGUUUUCACCUGGUCAGUCUGUCACAGAAAGAACAGGUGUUAUUUUGAUUAAAAAUGAGCAAAUAAGACUGUAUACAAUAAUGAACUACAUUGCUCCGUAUUUGUUGUUUUGCCUGAUCUUUAUCAAGGGUGCCAAUAAUUGCGCACCUGACUGUACAUGCAUAUAGCCUUUGUGUUUGUAAUGCACUGAGCUAUGCGCUCCACUGAACAUGUUGCCAUUGACCCUGAACUUAAACCUCACCUUAUGUGUAAACAAACACAGCUAGAACUAUGCCAUGAGGUCUAGGUCUGGACUCACCCAAUUCUUUGUUCAAAUACUAGUUUGUGUUUACUGAAACACUGAGGAAGUUGGAUAUUGUAGUACUGUCUGUAUGUUUAGUGUUUUUCACUAGUUUAGAUACCUGGCAGUUGGUUUUAGUUGUAAAUGAAGGUUCACGGGUCAAAGGUUGGUGGUUGCAACGCUGGUCCUAAAAAAUUCACUGGAGAGAAGAGGGUGCGGAUUUCACUUUUAUUCUCUUAUUUGUGGCGCCACCCACCCAGAGCUUACUUAAAAAAUAAAUAAAAUGAAUAAAUUACUUGGAGGUAAGUUGACUGUCUCAACCUUGAUUCCACUGAAACGUGUGACGUUAGAAUAGCACCUCCCAACAGGAAAAUAAAGAGCCUUGAUAUCGUAGUGCAGAGGCCGCCCAGUUGGGGUCUCAACUUACUGUUGCAAGUUAGAAUGGUAGAAUACCAAAAGUUGCAAUUUUGAAAUGUGGUUGUGCGUCAUCAGUUUCUCUUAUGUCAGUCAUUGAUAGACAAUUAGCCCAUGUCAGCUCGCAUAGUUUAGCG